rnacentral:rRNA from 1 species
GACGAACGCUGGCGGCGCGCUUAACACAUGCAAGUCGAGCGAGAACCAAGCCUUCGGGCCUGGGGAAAGCGGCGAACGGGUGAGUAACACGUGGGUAACCCACCCUUGGUACCGGGAUAGCCCGAGGAAACUCGGAUUAAUACCGGAUGGCCCAACAGCUUUUCGGAGCGGUUGGAAAAGGUAGCUUCGGCCUCCGACCAAGGACGGGCCCGCGGCGGAUUAGCUUGUUGGUGAGGUAACGGCUCACCAAGGCGACGAUCCGAGCUGGUCUGAGAGGACGAUCAGCCACACUGGGACUGAGACACGGCCCAGACUCCUACGGGAGGCAGCAGUGGGGAAUCUUGCGCAAUGGGCGAAAGCCUGACGCAGCGACGCCGCGUGGGGAAGAAGGCUUUCGGGCU